rnacentral:rRNA from 1 species
CAAUAGCGUAUAUUAAAGUUGUUGCGGUUAAAAAGCUCGUAGUUGGAUUUCUGCCGAGGACGACCGGUCUGCCCACUGGGUGUGUAUCUGGCUCGGCCUGGGCAUCUUCUUGGAGAACGUAUCUGCACUUGACUGUGUGGUGCGGUAUCCAGGACUUUUACUUUGAGGAAAUUAGAGUGUUUCAAGCAGGCACACGCCUUGAAUACAUUAGCAUGGAAUAAUAAGAUAGGACCUCGGUUCUAUUUUGUUGGUUUCUAGAACUGUGGUAAUGAUUAAUAGGGAUAGUUGGGGGCAUUCGUAUUUAACUGUCAGAGGUGAAAUUCUUGGAUUUGUUAAAGACGGACUACUGCGAAGGCAUCUGCCAAGGAUGUUUUCAUUGA